rnacentral:misc_RNA from 1 species
UUAAGCCGUAAGGUGCAUACCUUAGGUUGAGACAAGAUUCUCGUGUUGUUCUUGUUCUAUUUCUCUCUACCAGCUUUUGAUAUAAAGUCAGAAAAUCGAGUCAAGUUUCUGAUCCGUUUUAAGGACAGCGCUUGAACAAUAAUCUUCAAGAUUAUGGCGAUAUA